UGGGGAAUAUUGGGCAAUGGGGGAAACCCUGACCCAGCAACGCCGCGUGAAGGAAGAAGGCUUUCGGGUUGUAAACUUCUUUUACCAGGGACGAAGGACGUGACGGUACCUGGAGAAAAAGCUCCGGCUAACUACGUGCCAGCAGCCGCGGUAAUACGUAGGGAGCGAGCGUUGUCCGGAUUUACUGGGUGUAAAGGGCGUGUAGGCGGAGGAGCAAGUCAGAAGUGAAAUCUCCGGGCUUAACCCGGAAACUGCUUUUGAAACUGUUCCCCUUGAGUACUGGAGAGGCAGGCGGAAUUCCUAGUGUAGCGGUGAAAUGCGUAGAUAUUAGGAGGAACACCAGUGGCGAAGGCGGCCUGCUGGACAGCAACUGACGCUGAGGCGCGAAAGCGUGGGGAGCAAACAGG
rnacentral:rRNA from 1 species